UGGGCCUAUAGCUCAGCUGGUUAGAGCGCACGCCUGAUAAGCGUGAGGUCGAUGGUUCGAGUCCAUUUAGGCCCAUC
rnacentral:tRNA from 3 species